CAGCAUUUUAGAUAUGUGGAAACAUUUGGAAAUUUGUUCAUGGACAGACUUCCAGGAAGCCAUUACCUGGCAAAAAUUGGAGUCUCUGCAUUCCUACUGUUAAGAGCCUGAAACGCGUUCUGCUGCCAGGAAGAUGACAUUUGUAUUAGUCCAGAGGGGGAAAAAGGCAACAGUCAGAUCAGUUCUACUGGCCAUGUCAUGAAAUGGAAAUGUCUGUGCCUAAUUAUGGGUAAGUAUUUCAGUAUAUAUGAUUUUCUCUAGCUUAAACCCGAGCUAACUUGCUCACACAUGCUUGAACAGA
rnacentral:lncRNA from 1 species